GGGUUUUCAAAUAAAAAAGACAACGGGGAGCCUUCAAAGAAAUGGUUGAGGAAGCAGUGGAAAAAUCAGCAAGCGAUUAAGAGUUGGUGGAAGUCCUUUGACCUUAGGAAUGCCAUCAUGAACCUCAGGGCAGCCAAUACCUGCGGAAGCACACAGACUCCUAGAGGUAGAAUCACUUGGUUAAAAGAUGUGAAUAGUUUAAAAAGUAAUAAACCAAAAUGUGUGGCCUGGCCGGCGUGGUGCAGUGGUUGAGUGUCGACCUAUGAACCAGGAGGUCAUGGUUCAAUUCCCAGUCAGGGCACAUGCCCGGGUUGUGGGCUCGAUCCCCAUUGUGGGGCAUGCAGGCGACAGCUGAUCAAUGUUUCUCUCUCCUCAUUGAUGUUUCUGUCUCUCUCUCCCUCUUUCUUUCUCUCUGAAAUCAAUAAAAAUAUAUUUAAAAAAUUAACACGAAGACAAGUUUGUCCCAAAGAAAAUGGUCAAGGUCUUUGGUAAUAGUGCUGUACAAAUGGUACCAGAGUAGUAACUGUGUGAUGUAUAGGGGUGGACCAUUGUCCGUUUUUACAUCCGUGGAUAAUUAUUAUUUUUAUGAGAAAAGUUCAUACAGUUUGAUUCUUUCCUAAAUGAUUAUAAAGAAAUAAUUUCUUUACCCAAUUUACUAUUCUGUUUUUCCUUUUACAUGGUUUUGAGUGACAUCAGUUUUCAAAUGGCUUUGUAAACAACCAUUCUCGGGAACAGUAGCUAUUAAAUUGGUUUGAAAGCUGCUUGACAAUGAUGAAAAAAAAAAAAAAUUACUUCCCAAAGGCCUGGAGUGAGACCGCCGAUUUUUGUGCCAGGGGAAGGCCAGUUCUUACCGCAAGAAUUUCCCGGUAACCUUUCAUGAUUGAAAACAUAUUACUUGCUAUUCAAAAGCACAGGCAAAUUAGUGAGGAGCAUUUCUAAAAUAAGCUCAAGGGUUAGACAUGUAAUUUGAGGAUGACACAUCAUGAUGGUAAAGUGUGUUUCCUUCUGUGUUUUGUUUUAAGCUGUAGAAAGUGCACGCAACGCCACAGUCCGGUCUUCAGUGUGUUUUCACAGCUGUACGAUGAGCACACUUGAUUGUUAAGGGACUGCUUGUUCCAGGUGUAUACGUCUUACUACCUAAUGUUUACUUCUAACAGUGCGUUCCCUCUCCUAUGUCAUAAUAUAUAUUUACAUAACUUCGGUGCAUGGAAAUGUUAGGGAACUUGGUAUUGUCUUUGAAAUGGUCAUCUAAGAGCCUCUUUAUUACAGGGCUAUUCCCUUAAAGCAUAUGUUUUAAGGAACAGAUAGGCCUUUGGGGACUUUGGUGUUGAAUGAGCCCAAUGACACAUCUUUACAGUGAGGGCAUGGGAGACUGUGGUUAGAUAGCACCUGCACCCAUAGUUCAAACUGCAGGCAGUCACUGACUGACACCACCCUAAACAAGAGUGUUCUGUCGGGAGCGAACCCAUUUUAGGCCCAGCAUGACUGUCAGGGAGCUAACGACAGAGGACAGUGACUCGUCAAGCAAAGCAGACCUCUGCAACAUCCGGAACAUUCCGUUUCCUUGAUCCCUCUGAGACGCGACUGCCACGGAACCACUUGUUUUCUUAUAGGAAUGUAGAGAGAGAGAUAAGCCCCACUGGUGCGGCUCAGUGGUUGAGUGUCGACCUAUGAACCAGGAGUUCACAGUUCGAUUCCCGGUCAGGGCACAUGCCUGGGUUGAGGGCUUGAUCCUCAGUAGGGGGUGUGCAGGAGGCAGCUGAUCAAUGAUUCUCUGUCAUCAUUGAUGUUUCUAUCACGCUUUCCCUCUUCCUUCCUCUCUGAAAUCAAUAAAAAAAUAUAUUUUUUUAAAAAAAGAGAAAUGAAUUAACUUUCUGUGUAACUUUUUACUUUGACGUACUUUAAAAUGUCUGAAAAGGUACAGGAAUUCCCAUACACUUUUCGCUCAGAUUCACCCAUAGUUUGGCAUUUGCUCUAUCAUCUCCUCCUCUGUAUUAGAGAGUAACUGCAGACAUCAAGCCCCUUUACCCCUCAUGCGUCAGUGUUCACUUCCUAAGGACAAGGAGAACCUCUUACAUAACCACAGGACAGAUCUCAGAAGCAGGAAAUUUUACUUUGAUUAGAUAGUAGUCUUGUACCAAAGUCCAUACUUAGGUUUUGCCAAUUGCCUCCAAUAAUGUCUUUUAUAGCAGUGUACUUCCUGGUCCAGGAUCCAUAUCAUAUCUCUUUGAUCUCAUUUAAUCUUAAACGAAUGACCUGUUUUAAGUGAAAUGGAGGGAGACACACUUUUCAUUGCAUGCUUUUAUUGCAUGCAUAUCAACUUUAGCAUCUUCUCUGAAACAGAAAGUUGGAUUUUUUUUUAUAGCAGGUACCACGUAGGACAUACUUGAACUUCAUGGCUUAUCAGUUGCUACCUUUUCCAGUUUCUUUCUGACCAGGCGACCAUUGGUCCUUACUCAGUCUUGCUGUAUAGGCACUGUUGUGUGCAGACUACACUACCAAGCUUUCUUUUGUUCAAGCCUGUCUUUCCUAGCCUGCGAUAGCUGCUCUUUCAUCCCAUGGGAAUGUUGAGUGUAGGUUCUGCUGAGACAGUUCCAAAGUAUGUCCUGCAGCUUAUCUUUAGCUGAGGAAAGAGGACAAGUGGCCACCGUCCUUUUGCUCAAGGCCAGCGGUUCACUCACUUUCUCUUCACUAGGCUAUAAUUAUUCUCUGGAGUACGUGGACAAACAGCAUAUGCUUGUGAUUUCAAAAGCACUCCUAACCUUCCUCAUGUUUGUUCCGUUGAAAAUUGCAUCGCAGCCUGGCCAGCGUGGCUCAGUGGUUGAGUGUCGACCUAGGCACCAGGAAGUCACAGUUCGAUUCUCAAUUAGGGCACAUGCCUGCGUUGUGGGCUCGAUCCCCAGUGAGGGGCAUGCAGGGGGCAGCUGAUCAAUGAUUCUCUCUCAUCAUUGAUGCUUCUAUUUCUCCCUCCUCCCUUCCUCUCUGAAAUCAAUAAAAAUAUAUUAU